rfam:Triticum urartu cultivar G1812 contig316168, whole genome shotgun sequence.
UACAUACUCCCUCCGUUCGGAAUUACUCGUCCAAGAAAUGAAUGUAUAUAGAUGUAUUUUAGUUGUAGAUACAUCCAUUUUUGUGACAAGUAAUUCCGAACGGAGGGAGUACUAC